rnacentral:rRNA from 1 species
UUAAAUUGAAGAGUUUGAUCAUGGCUCAGAUUGAACGCUGGCGGCAGGCCUAACACAUGCAAGUCGAACGGUAACAGGAAACAGCUUGCUGUUUCGCUGACGAGUGGCGGACGGGUGAGUAAUGUCUGGGAAACUGCCCGAUGGAGGGGGAUAACUACUGGAAACGGUAGCUAAUACCGCAUAACGUCGCAAGACCAAAGAGGGGGACCUUCGGGCCUCUUGCCAUCGGAUGUGCUCAGAUGGGAUUAGCUAGUAGGUGGGGUAAC